GAUCGCUAGUGGAAAUCGAUUUCCACUAGCAGUUGAGUUAAGAAAACCGCAAGUGGAAAUCGAUUUCCACUGGCGGUC
rnacentral:pre_miRNA from 7 species